rnacentral:misc_RNA from 1 species
UCCGGUUUAACACCGGCAGUCUCCCUAGAGUCCCCAACUUAAUGUUGGUAACUAAGGACAGGGGUUGCGCUCGUUGCCGGACUUAACCGAACAUUUCACAACACGAGCUGACGACAGCCAUGCAGCACCUGUGCGUGGGUCCCCGAAGGGCGAUCCACAUCUCUGCGGACGUCCCACCAUGUCAAGGCCAGGUAAGGUUCUGCGCGUUGCUUCGAAUUAAACCACAUACUCCACCGCUUGUGCGGGCCCCCGUCAAUUCCUUUGAGUUUUAGCCUUGCGACCGUACUCCCCAGGCGGGAUACUUAAUGCGUGUGCUUUGGUACUCAGAGGGUUAACGCUCCGAACACCGAGUAUCCAUCGUUUACGGCGCGGACUAC